GAUGAACGCUAGCUACAGGCUUAACACAUGCAAGUCGAGGGGCAGCAUGAACUUAGCUUGCUAAGUUUGAUGGCGACCGGCGCACGGGUGAGUAACACGUAUCCAACCUGCCGAUGACUCGGGGAUAGCCUUUCGAAAGAAAGAUUAAUACCCGAUGGCAUAGUUCUUCCGCAUGGUAGAACUAUUAAAGAAUUUCGGUCAUCGAUGGGGAUGCGUUCCAUUAGGUUGUUGGCGGGGUAACGGCCCACCAAGCCUUCGAUGGAUAGGGGUUCUGAGAGGAAGGUCCCCCACAUUGGAACUGAGACACGGUCCAAACUCCUACGGGAGGCAGCAGUGAGGAAUAUUGGUCAAUGGACGAGAGUCUGAACCAGCCAAGUAGCGUGAAGGAUGACUGCCCUAUGGGUUGUAAACUUCUUUUAUACGGGAAUAAAGUGAGGCACGUGUGCCUUUUUGUAUGUACCGUAUGAAUAAGGAUCGGCUAACUCCGUGCCAGCAGCCGCGGUAAUACGGAGGAUCCGAGCGUUAUCCGGAUUUAUUGGGUUUAAAGGGAGCGUAGGCGGACGCUUAAGUCAGUUGUGAAAGUUUGCGGCUCAACCGUAAAAUUGCAGUUGAUACUGGGUGUCUUGAGUACAGUAGAGGCAGGCGGAAUUCGUGGUGUAGCGGUGAAAUGCUUAGAUAUCACGAAGAACUCCGAUUGCGAAGGCAGCCUGCUGGACUGUAACUGACGCUGAUGCUCGAAAGUGUGGGUAUCAAACAGG
rnacentral:rRNA from 1 species